GGAACUGCAAAAGUUAAUAAUGCAUAUGAAUGGCAAAAAGUGAGAUACAACAAUAAACCACAACCCACGGCAACAACAACAGUGGCGGUUAAGCAAAAGCCGCAACAACAACAACAAGCACAAAAACAAAUUCAAAAAAAUGCAACAAAAGUCGCGCCAGCAACAGCGUUACCGUUAACCGGCAACAUAACCGGCAGCAGCAUAACCGUUAAGCAAGGCCCGAAAAUCAAAUUCGUUGGCAACGCGGCGCGCCGGCAAUCGUUGGCCCAUCAAAUCAAGCGAGCACAUCGCCAUCUGCUGACCAGCGGGGGUCAGGACAAGCAGCCGCAGCAGCAAAAGCAAAAAACACAAGUGCAGUCGCCGACUGGCAGCAAAACAGUUGCCAAACCGAAACAGCGGUCGAAACAAUUGUUAAAAAGCGAUAAGCCAGGCAGGGAGAAGACCAAGCAGCCGCUGCCCAGAAAGCAACGCGGAGUCAUCGCCAGGAGGAGCAACAAGCGAGCAGAUUCAGAAUCUUCGGGCCUCUCAUCCCGCUGGUGUUCCAUCGAGGAGCAGCUGAACCUGCUGGACGACCUGCUCUACUACUGCGAUGAGGAGGCCGAACUGUAUCUAGCCCAGCUGUACGAACGGUUCGAGAGCCUCCGCACAAGGAGCAGGAGUUCCUCGCCAGCCAGCGAUUUCUGGAGCGACUCGGACAUGGAGCACCACGACGACUCCAGCACCAGUGGCACUGGCAGCCACACGGCCAGCAACACGAGCCUGGUUCCCGCCUCGCUGAAGCGCCGUGGCCACCAGCAUCAUCCGCGCUUCGCCGGCACACGCCGUCCCAAUGUGCCCAAUGUCCAGGAGAUUCUGGCCGCCCUCUAUCGCGGCGACUCCAAGAGCGCCCUCUCCAAUCUCAGGGGAGAGACGCAACCAGAGGAAGCAGAGCAAACACAGCAGCCGGAGGAGGCAGUGCUGCCCCCCAGCAGGAGCACCUUAAGUCUGCCGCUCAGCGAAUCGGUGACCAAUUCCCUGGGCAGCAACAGUCCCACGCCCACGGACGAGAGCAGUGUCCAGGAUGAAGGUGCCAGCCAACCGAUGGCUGUUCCUUUGGCAGAAGGAGCCACUCCUGCAGCAGCCACAACCACCUCCGCCAAAAGCAAGAAAAAGAAGCGGGAGAAGGGUGAAAAGUCCGAGAGAUCCGAGAAAUCUGAGAAGUCCGAAAAGAAAAAGAAGUCUUCUGGCAAAAAGGAGCGCAGCAAGCGGUCCAGUGCCAUGGAGAUGAGCAGCGACAGCCUGGCCACCGACCUCAGUGGCGGGGCCAUUGACGAGGGCAUCGCCCUGGCCGAUGACGACGAGAACCAGGCGGCGGAGUGGUCCAAGCUGCGGUGCACCAGCGAGGCGGCCGAGAUUGUGGCCGAGCGGGAGGCGCGGCGGAACAAGGGACGCUGCGCUGACUAUCCGGGACUGGCCUUUGGCAGAUCCAUCUUCAGUUCGGACACCAUGAUGAAGUUCAACAUCAUCCGGAACGAGCUGCACAACAUCAUGAACACACAGCUCAAGCGGGUAAUUAGUGGUUGAGUCUUGGAGUCGGUCGUAAUUUCUUUCACAUAACUAAUCACCUUUCUAAACCUUUUGCAUAUUCUUUACCAAGCGAAGAAGCCACCUCGCUGUUGUUGUUGUCGUUCUGCUAAAGGGGACUCCAAAGUUUGGUUAGGUUCUUUGGCAAUUGCUCCAAUUUGUUGCUGCUUCUUUUCGCAUUGCAAAGCGAUUACGUCGUCGUCUUCGUCUUUUCGCGAAUUUCUAGUAGUGACUUAACCCUUGGCUGGCCCUCAGGGUCUUUCUUCGGCCCUCGUGUUUUCAUUCGGUUAGCUGUUGUAAAUCUUGACCCACUUGGCUUAUACCACUUAUAUUUCUCACCUUUCACUCGAGAGAUGGCCUAAAAUCGAUUUGGUUAAUAGUGUUUAAAAGUUUUUUGCUUAUGAGUUAUAGUUCGUUAAAAUAUUUUUAUACCAUGAGAUUUUUUUUUGGUAAAUCUUUUCCCCUCCCCCCUGUAAAGUAUUCCAUUAAUUUGGGCAAAUAUGUUUACUUAAUUGCAGGCAAUUGUUUAAUUAGUUACGCAAUUGCUGGAAUGCCUAACGGUACUCGCCGGCCACCUGUUGCUCUCCCUCUCUUUCGCCCGCUGCUGUGCGGGUGGCAGAAAGAGAGCGUCCGAUAAGACCGCUAAAUGGUAUUAGUGCUUUUUUUUUUGUUUUUCAAUUUUUUCGCUCAAUUCUCGGUGCGCUGAAAAAGGCAACACGGUUUGAAAAACUAAAAGGAAAACCCGGCCAUAUUUGGCCAAAGCAUAAACUAUGCGGCGUGCGGGCCAAGCUCGAUUUGCCAAAAUUGGCCAACAAAUUAAUUAUUAAACGGCGAUACUCGGCGACCUUCCCCUUUUAUUUACUUUUAAUUUCUCUUCAAUGUCGUCGGGCUAAAAAUGGAAAAGCGCUCAUUGUUUGCACUAUCAAAACAAUUACGCCAUCGCCAUCGAAAGUCAAAAAGUCGAAAAGUGGGAAAUAUUAAGAGCUACAGGUGGUUGUUGAGCGUUUAGAAAAAAAAAAGCGGUUAACAUCCCGAUUAGUCAUUACGUUGCGCUUACGUCGUUUGCUGAUAAGCGUGAUAAAGCGCCGGCAUUGUGUUUUCCGUUUUCCGUAGUGGAAGCAAUUAGUGGAAUGAGUGGGCGGGGGGCGGCGGUGGGGGCGUGGGCUUCGUUGCGUUGGCACACACACGCACGCACACCUGCAAGCCACCUUACCUGCUUACUCAUCUCUCUCUUCAACCAUUUUACAUGUCCGAUUUUUGCAUAAUAUUAUUUGCCUGGAAAUGACAAAAAUCCGAAAUAUUUCUUCACUAAUUAAUGCCAAAACAACAACAAUGUCGACAUGGACAGAAUUUUAGCGGCUUUUAACAGGUUUUCCAGCCGCACACACACACACACACUGGCGCACCGUUUUAGGCGAGGCAGACAGACUGGAAGGCCAAGCCUCUGGUUGUCCCGCUCGCACAAACCACCACCGCCGCUUCGACUGGCGAUUCGGUGGAUUCAUUUCCAGUUACGUACUCGUCGCAGUCGCGUCGUCGUUGUCUCUCUCUCCGUGUGUGUUUUUUGCCACCAAAUAGCAAUAUUCAAUAUUUAAACGCAGCCCAUUCUGUUUCCGAAGUUCGCCUGCCAGUUUUGCCACCAAACACUGCCCUUUAGAAUUCGAAUCCAAGCCAGGGAAAAAGCAGUUGAAGCAAAAGAAAAACCGGUGGUUCACUGUCUGCGAGUGUGUGUGUGCGUCCCGAGCUCUUUCGUUUUCGUGAGUAGUGCUUCUUCAGUU